rnacentral:rRNA from 1 species
CCUACGGGAGGCAGCAGUGGGGAAUAUUGCACAAUGGGCGAAAGCCUGAUCCAGCAACGCCGCGUGAGCGAUGAAGGCCCUCGGGUUGUAAAGCUCUGUCCUCAAGGAAGAUAAUGACGGUACUUGAGGAGGAAGCCCCGGCUAACUACGGGCACGCAGCAGCGGAAAUACGUAGGGGGCCAGGGUUAUCGGGAAUUACUGGGCGUUAAGGGUGCGUAGGGGGUUUCUUAAGUCAGAGGUGAAAGGCUACGGUCCAACCGUAGUAAGCCUUUGUCACUGGGGAACUUGAGUGCAGGAGAGGAGAGUGGAAUUCCUAGUGUAGCGGUGAAAUGCGUAGAUAUUAGGAGGAACACCAGUUGCGAAGGCGGCUCUCUGGACUGUAACUGACACUGAGGCACGAAAGCGUGGGGAGCAAACAGGAUUAGAUACCCGUGUAGUC